rnacentral:rRNA from 1 species
AACGAACGCUGGCGGCAUGCCUAACACAUGCAAGUCGAACGAGACCUUCGGGUCUAGUGGCGCACGGGUGCGUAACGCGUGGGAACCUGCCUUUAGGUUCGGAAUAACUCAGAGAAAUUUGAGCUAAUACCGGAUGAUGUCUUCGGACCAAAGAUUUAUCGCCUUUAGAUGGGCCCGCGUUGGAUUAGCUAGUUGGUGGGAUAAAGGCCUACCAAGGCGACGAUCCAUAGCUGGUCUGAGAGGAUGAUCAGCCACACUGGGACUGAGACACGGCCCAGACUCCUACGGGAGGAAGCAGUGGGGAAUUUGGGACAAUGGGCGAAGGCUUGUUCAAGCAUGGCCGCGGGAGUGAUGAGGGCCUUAGGUUGGAAAAGCUCUUUUACCCGGGAUGAAAUGACAGUAUCGGGAGAAUAAGCUCCGGCUAACUCCGUG